AUGCUGGGAUUACAGGUGUGAGCCACCGUGCCUGGCCCCAAAGAUGAUUGUCUUAUAAAAGCCUAUGUAACCCUUUUCAUUUUUUCUUUAAAAAAUGUCUUCCUUUACCUCCUGGAACACAUCCAUACUUAUUCCCAUUGUAAUGCCCGUUCCUGAAUAAACAUCAUUGUUUUUUUAGAGAGGGAGAGAGAGUCCAUUGGUGAGAGAGUCUCACCAAUCUCCUGUCCCCAGGGCACUUCCACCCCUGGGUAUUUGUACUGAUCAACCAGGUUACGCUUUCAGCAUUUGCAAACUCAGGAUGGAGAUUUUAGACCCUCUUCAACCUCCAGGUUUCCUCUUUGCAAAGGCCAGCAGCAGAAGCAAAAGAGAUGGAGCCCGGGUUAGCAUUUAUUUUUCUAUUUACCAGUCAUUUGGAAUUUGGACAUUUUCUGUCCUGUGGUUGUGGUGAGGGUGUGGGUUUUGUGUUGUUUUAUAUAUUCUUUGUUAUUUUUUAUUCUAGUUUUUGUUUUUGUUUUGGAAGGUAUUUUAGAGAAAUAAGAUUUCUGUGGUUACCAUGACCUGCUGUUACAGAUUACAUGGUACCCUCUCUUCAUAUGUUGAAGUCCUAGCCACCCCGCCGAACCUCAGAAUGUGACUGUAUUUGGAGAUAGGGUCUUUACAGAGGAAAUCAAGUUAAAAUGAAGUCAUUAGGGCAGGCCCUAAUCCGAUAUGAUCCUGUGUUCUUAGAAGAGGAAAUGUGGACUCAGGUGUGUAUGGAGGGAAGAUGUCUUGCAAGCCCAAGGAGAAGAUGGCCAUCUGAGCCCACGUCCUGGAACAGAGACUUCCCUCACAGCCUCAGAAAGAACCAGCCCUGCUGACGUCUUGAUCUCAGACCUCCAGCCUCCAGAACUGGGAGACGAUUCAGUCAGCAUCUACACAACACAGGGUUGAACUGUGCGGGUCCACUUCUAUGCAGAUUAUUUUCUUUUUUCUUUUUUGAGACAGAGUCUCGCCCGGUUGCUCAGGCUGAAGUGUAGUGGUGUGAUCUUGGCUUACUGCAGCUUCCACCUCCCAGGUGCAAGUGAUUCUCCUGCCUCAGCUUCCCAAGUAGCUGGGACUAUGGGUACUCGCCACCACACCUGGCUAAUUUUUGUAUUUUUAGUAGAGAUGGGGUUUCACCAUGUUGGUCAGGCUGGUCUUGAACUCCUGACCCCAAGUGAUCUGCCUGCCUUGGCCUCCCAGAUUGCUGGGAUUACAGGUGUGAGCCACCGUGCCCGGCCCUAUAUAACUCUUUGUGCAAGUUUUUACCCCUAAAAGAUAUCUGCCAUCUCAGCCAUGGAACAGACACUGUAAGAACAUGAAGGCUCAAGGGCAGGGCUGGCUACAUAAUUUGUGGGACCCAUUACAAAAUGAACAUGGAGAAAAAACUAGAAAAAAGUGUAGUACAAGGUACUAUAAUAGAUUUUUCCUUUGAAAACAGUUUAAUACUUAUAAAAUGUAAUAGAGGGAAAUAGUGACACGUGAGUAACAAAAUGGGCGUAUCAAUUGGUCUAUGCUAUUUUUGGUGUUAUAAUUUUACCUAAUAUAAUAAGCAGCAACACUUUGUUAGUGAGACGGGCUUUCACCAUGUUGGCCAGGCUGGUCUGGAACUCCUGACCUCAGGUGAUCCGCCUGCCUCAGCCUUCCAAAGUGCUGGGAUUACAGGUGUGAGCCUCUGCGCCCGGCUGUGAUGUCUUGAUUGAUCAUAGGAUUUUUCUGGCUAUUCUAGCUACUUCCAAUUCGCUUCAGCCAAUUUAGUUGAAGUUUUAUCACUUGUGACUUCAGAGUCCUGGUUAAUAUCCUGUUGCCCUCAGGACAUGCAGGAUGGAGGAAGGCACCAGGGAGCCGAGGGAAGUGAGCAGAGAGGCAGUCACUUCAGGGCCACCAGCAUAGCCCCCGUCACUGUCCACAGACACAGGCCCUUCCCCUUCUCAUGGUUGAGCAGGCUCCACCUCACUUCCGUGUAUGACUUCAUAGACCGUUAGGUUCCGUGGUACCCUGGAGUCCACAGCUGCUGAAUCUGAAGGGCCAUCAGAAGACUGGCUUCUCCAUGAUGGUUUAUGGACUAAGGCAAAGAUGAGCAGAGCCAUGGCCCUCUUCUUUGUUCUCUGCUGGAUCCAAGUAGAGAUGGGAUUUCAUCAUGUUGGCCAGGCUGGUCAUGAACUCCUGACCUCAAUGGAUCCUCCUGCCUCAGCUUCCUGAGUAGCUGGGACCACAGGUGCACACCACCACGCCCAGGUAAUUAAUUUUUAUUUUUUGUAGAGUCGGGGGUCUCCCUAUGUUUCCCAGGCUGGCCUCGAACUCCUGACCUCAAGUGAUCCUCCCACCUCAGCCUCCCCGAGUGCUGGGAUUAAAGACGUGAGCCACGGCACCUGGCCUGAAUUUUCCUCAAAUUCAAAAAAUCCUGAUGAAGGUUUGGCUAAAAUCUUUGGUGAGUUACCCCACUCCCUGUGGAACCUCAGGCUGGAUUUGAAGAGUUGCGUGCAUGGUCCUCAUUGUCUCCCAGGUAACCUGUUCCCGCUGCUGUGAAGGGAAGGCAGGUGCUCUUCCUUGAGGCUAGAAUCUGUCUACGUGUCACAGUCUCAGGAAAUUAAGCAAAACAGAUGAUAAACACCUCAAAAGGACCCUACUGAGCAUCAGUGGAGCAGAGCAGGGCCAUGUGGGACUGCGGCGUCAGAUGCCACCUCACACUAGCUGUGACACACCUGCCUCGCCAGUUUCUGCUCUGAGGCCCCAAAGCCGAGCUGAACCUCCUCCAGGGGUUCUCAGCCCUAACUGAGCAUGAAAACCCCUGGGGCAAUCCUCUUUUUAACAAUUGAGACAUUCCACACACACCCCACAUCAGAUUUUGGGGUGUGGGGAUAGACCUUCACAUUUGUAGUUUUCUAACCCUCCAGGGGACACUAGGCUGAGACUCAUUGGUCUCCACUCUGAACCUUCCACUGAACAUGUGAGAAAAACUAAGGCCCAGGGAAGUCUUUAGCAGAGAGCUGAGACGGAGAAAAGGGUUCUGAACCACAGCUGUCUGCUGAAGGAAGCUGUCCAAAGGCCAGUGAAGUCUCUCCUGAGGGUGCCUGGGCUGUGCAUCAGGAGUGAAGGUUGAGGGUCACCUUAGGUGUGAGAAGGAGCAACUGGGAGAGUGGCGCUGAUGCUUCCCCCCGGGUUAGGAGGCAUUUGGAUCACAGAGCGAUGCCUGUUCAUUCCUGCUUGCAAGGGAGCAGAUCUCUCGACACCCGAUGGGCCUCUAUUCCGUUCCGGCAGCUGUCCGUGUCAGGAGCGCUGGGCUUGCUCCUCCCCACGGGAGCCAUCACAGAGGCCUCGGGCAGUCUGCAUAGACAACUGCCUGGCAGGUGACCAGGAGGGGAUGCAUGAGCAGAUGCAGGUAGCACUCGCAGUCCCCCUAGCUGUGCCCUCAGCACCUGCUGUCUAGGAGGCAGAAGCCUUGUUCUCGGCCUUGCAGGUGACCCCAGUGUCUCUGAAUUCGGCCCCAUAUGUGUAGGAGGGGAGUGAUUGCAUCUGAAGAUGGGAGUCUGGUUGGGGGUUUGGGAAGCUCCCAUCACCCCUCAAGAGUCCACUGACCAGCCCAGCUCACACCAGGUGGGCCUUGGCACUGGAGGCCACGGCUCAACUCUGCAGUUCCCUCUGGGCAGCAUUUCCAGGGACUCGUAGGUCAGCAUGGUCAUCAAGGACAGGUGGUGAGAGCAGCUCCUCAUUGUCCUGGUGACCCCGAUGGUUCAUUUUCUGGUGUCUCUGUGGUGAGCUCCUGUUACAUCAAGCGAGUGGAAACCACCGAGGACCAACAGCCCUGGAAAUGCACUGAGAAUGCAGGAUGAGUGGGCUUUGUGAGGACUGUUUUCUGUGACUUAGCAAGGAAAGCCUGGAAGGGAAAGUAAAACUGCUUCUUCCCAGGGAAGCCAGAAACCUGAGAACUUAAAAGGGAAGGAGAACUUAAUAUAUUUCAAAAAUGUAACCCUUGUGAAUUAGCAACAGCUUUAUAAACAAAGAGAUUUCCGAGCUUAUAGAAUCUAUUCUGCUUUGUUUCUGCCCCCAUGGCUCCUACCCCUGUUUUUGUGGGUACAAUUUUCAUAUAGAACAUUUUUACACAAGCUUCAAAACUCUCUGAGGACAGCUUUCCCCUUUGUGUCUGUCGGGUCCCAGGCAGUCACAUCCCAGGAAGUGCUGGGGUUGGGCUCCUUGCUCCACAUCCUUCUUCAGUGGCACGAAGCGUGGGGUGGAGUGUGUGAGUCAUGUGUGAUCUUGGUGUGGGCUAUGGCUGGUCUGCAGCACCCCUUCAAUGACUGCUUCAAGGGCUUUUCAUGAUGCUUGUAGCUCAUGAGCUAGUGUUUCCUAGAUGCUGUUUCCAGGUGUCUUGCAUGUCACACACUGGCCUACCAGGGCUGGAGUGAGAUCAUGAGCGCCAGAUUGUUGGUGAAGGAAGUUGACAGAGACAUCGAAUGUCGGUGAACAGGAGUGACCUUGGGUCUCAAUAAAUACUGUGGUCAACUGAAUCCAGAACCCACCCUUACCAGCAGGGCCCACUUCUUCCCCAGCAGGCCGAGCUCUUCCCCUCCUGUCUUCCCUGGCCCUUGCUUUGUAGCUCUGUGUGGCUGUGUCAUGUCUGGUUGUAUCUGUAUAUACUUCUGCCUCUCCCGCUAUCUAGAUGGCUCGGGGAGGCACACCACACACCAGGUCACCUUCCUCUCUGAACCCCCAGCACCUCAUACUGUUUCUGUGCAGAGAUAAGGCUGGGUGAAAGCUUGUGUGAAUGAUCUGAAGUCUUCUACUCUAGGCCAGUCUCCAGGAGCAUUAUGAUCUUUAGGAGGGUGGGCUUGGUUCCUCUGUACAAUAAUGGGUCAUAAAACUGAGUGGUCAAGAUCAUCCCGGUGAGGGCAGUCCGUGUGUUGCCAUAGUUGCUGUACCGGUUAAGAAUGCACCUGGCUGCAAUUUCCUGAAAACCUGACGUAUAGUGGCUUAAACAAAGAGUGGUUUAUUUUCCUUCUGUCAUAGCAAUCUGGGGGAGGCCACUGUGGCUUUGGCGCAGGAGGUCGGGAAAGGCCCGCUUCUCUGAUAUCAUUGGGGGCCUCCCCAGUGCUUGUGUGGCAGAAUGACAAGAGGAAGAAGAAGGAGAAUUAUGGCACUGAGUAUCAUGAGAUUUGGGGUCAUAUAUCUUUAGUGGGCGGUGUUUGCUGCCCCAAAUGUCUCAUGCCAUUAAAAUGUUCUGGAAAUGAUUUAGGUAGUUGGAGUUUCCUUCCCAAAGACAAGGCAUUUACAGCAUGAUGUCCAAUAUCCAUUGAGUUUGUGUCAUGCAUUCAUUGUAUUCAUAGUCUGCUUUAGGUACUUAGCAAAAUAUUGCUGAUAUUAACAUGCCUUUGUUUGCUUCACUGGAGAUGAAAUUGUGCUCCAAGUGUUUUCCAAGGUUCCGUAUGACCCAUCAUUUGAUGAAACAAGAACAGCAGUCAGAUCCAUUACAAAGAGAGACACACAAAAAAACUAUGUGAAAAUGAGCUUAGCCCCUGGUGUUGUGUUGGAACUUCAGAUGCUUGCAGACACUUCAUGAAUGCUCUGUGACACUCAGAAUAGGCUAUUCCCAACAGAAGAGCUUGAACAAUGCUGCAUUUGCAUCAGGUUCAAAUGAGCGAGAGGAACAUUUGGCUAAAAUAUUUGGAACCAGCAUUGCUUGGAAUUCUCCUAAACCAGAAUAUUUCCUUGGCAGUGUGGACAAAAUUCCUGAUAAAGAGAUGGGGUUUCACUGUGUUAGCCAGGAUGGUCUCGAUCUCCUGACCUCAUGAUCCGCCCGCCUCGGCCUCCCAAAGUGCUGGGAUUACAGGCGUGAACCACCAUGCCCGGCCCAGAAUGUCCUUUCUUUUCGAAGCGGAGUAAUAUUCCAUUAUCACCUUUCAGAGGAGAAGAAUUUUAAAGAAUCCUGUCUGUUCGACAGGGAUUUAAGAGAGCAGUUAACUACUAUAGAUAAAGAAACACUUCAAGGAGCAGCUAAACCAGAUGCUCACUUUAGGACUAUGCCCUGCGGGCAGCUUCUGCACUUCCUGCAGAGGAACACCAUCAUCGCCGCCGUCUCAGGGGUGGCCAUCCUCAUGGCCAUCGUGCUGUUGCUGCUUGGGUUGGCCUCAUACAUCAGGAAGAAACAGCCAUCAUCUCCUCUGGCAAACACGACAUAUAAUAUUUUUAUAAUGGAUGGAAAGACAUGGUGGCACAAUUCUGAAGAAAAAAAUUUCACAAAACUUGCAAAAAAACAGAAACAGUUGAAGAGCAGCUCCUGUGUCUAAGCCAGGUCGUGGGGCCGUCAAACCAGGACUUGAAACCACAAUGCGAGGACAUUCUCCAUCUGCGCACCACAGGGAGGCAAUUCCAUUUCUGCCCGGGAGGUGUAUUCUACAAAAACGUCUGCUUCCCAUCCCAAUUUGAAUGGACCAAGAAAAACUGCUUUACCAUAGGACACUUGUGGCAAUAUGGCACCGAUGGCUGGCGUCGGUGAACCCGACAGACUAUGGAUUUAUCAUUUAAUAAAGCAUUGAUUCAUUUUUUCAGUCAUUCAUUGAACAGAUAUUAAUAGACCACCUCACAUGCUGACAAUAUCAAAAUACAAUGAGGAAACUAACAGUGACCCAGGCAUGCAUUCUUCCCCGAGCAAGAUCACAGUCCAUGGUGUGAGCACAACCAUACUAAAUAGCUUUUAUGGGAGGUGGGAGUACAGAAAGUAUUAUAUCUGCAAAGAAACUGCUAAGAAUUGUGGGAGCGCCCCAGGAGGUGAUUUCCUGCUUGCGUGACCAGCACAAAGAAAUGGGGUAAUUGAGAGUGUCAUGAAGUGGGGUUAUUUAUUUAUUGAGUC
rnacentral:lncRNA from 1 species